rnacentral:tRNA from 1 species
GGUCCCAUCGUCCAGAGGCCUAGGACACCGCCCUUUCACGGCGAAAACAGGGGUUCGAAUCCCCUUGGGACCGCCA